rnacentral:rRNA from 1 species
UACAGAGGUGGCAAGCGUUGUUCGGAAUUACUGGGCGUAAAGGGCGCGUAGGCGGUCUUGUAAGUCUUGUGUGAAAUCCCUCGGCUUAACUGAGGAACUGCACGGGAUACUGCGAGACUUGAGUUCGGGAGAGGGAAGCGGAAUUCCGGGUGUAGCGGUGAAAUGCGUAGAUAUCCGGAGGAACACCGGUGGCGAAGGCGGCCAUCUGGACCGGCACUGACGCUGAGGCGCGAAAGCGGGGGGAGCAAACAGG